UCUCCUGAACAUCUUGUUAAAAUGCAAAUUAUGAUCUACUAGGUCUGAGAUUCUGCAUUUCUAACAAGCUUCAAGAUGAUGC
rnacentral:miRNA from 1 species